CACUACUUUCUCCUUCUAUUAUAUUUGUAAAUGGUGAAUAGCAAAAUUGACAUUAGGUUGCUAUCAUACAUAAAUGAUGUACUUUUUUGAAACUUUUCCUGCAGUCUAAAAUCUUCAAGAGACUCUUCCUCGCCGGAAACCGCCACCGGAACAACCAUCGGCAGCAACCUCUCAUCAUGGCUGCCAAAUUUUGUCACAGGAGAUUCUUCAAGAACCAUGCCAAAUUUUGCCUUGCAUUUUACUCUUUUUGUAACCUUUUUCAUACUCCUUUUUCUUUACAUAUAAUUCACAAACACUUUACACUUCACAUUCACGUCAUAGUCACAUUGCUAGCAAGGCCAAUGUAAAUACAUAUUGUAAAGCACAAUUUUCCAAGACGUUUGUAUAGAAGCCUAAAUUAUUUCAAAUUUUGUUUUGCUUUGCAAUGAAUUUGUCCAUUAUGAUUAGUGGGUGCUCCUUAACAAAGAUUGUCAAUUGUAUGAUCUUUGCUACAAAAUAUAUAUUAUGGGAUCAUAUUGUCUUACAUGUGGACCCUCUAUUGUUUAGAUAAUAAUAUAUAUUCGAGGCUCGAAAAAUGCUUCAUGUUAAAUUGAUCCACACGCGUCUUUCUUAAUGUGUUAACGGGAUUAUGUCAUUCUCAUGAACAAGAGUUUAUUUAAUUUUAUGUAAUAUAUAUUCAAACUAUUUUAAUUAAUUUUCUUUUGAUUUAUGCUCAAU
rnacentral:lncRNA from 1 species